rnacentral:rRNA from 1 species
UACGUAGGGGGCAAGCGUUAUCCGGAUUUACUGGGUGUAAAGGGAGCGUAGGCGGUUCAGCAAGUCAGAAGUGAAAGCCCGGGGCUCAACUCCGGGACUGCUUUUGAAACUGUUGAACUAGAUUGCAGGAGAGGUAAGUGGAAUUCCUAGUGUAGCGGUGAAUGCGUAGAUAUUAGGAGGAACACCAGUGGCGAAGGCGGCUUACUGGACUGUAAAUGACGCUGAGGCUCGAAAGCGUGGGGAGCAAACAGG